rnacentral:rRNA from 1 species
GAGUUUGAUCGUGGCUCAGGACGAACGCUGGCGGCGUGCCUAAUACAUGCAAGUCGAGCGAAUCGAUAGGAGCUUGCUCCUGUUGGUUAGCGGCGGACGGGUGAGUAACACGUGGGCAACCCGCCUGUAAGACUGGGAUAACUUCGGGAAACCGGAGCUAAUACCGGAUAAUCCUUUUCCUCUCAUGAGGAAAAGCUGAAAGUCGGUUUCGGCUGACACUUACAGAUGGGCCCGCGGCGCAUUAGCUAGUUGGUGAGGUAACGGCUCACCAAGGCGACGAUGCGUAGCCGACCUGAGAGGGUGAUCGGCCACACUGGGACUGAGACACGGCCCAGACUCCUACGGGAGGCAGCAGUAGGGAAUCUUCCGCAAUGGACGAAAGUCUGACGGAGCAACGCCGCGUGAGCGAUGAAGG